rnacentral:rRNA from 1 species
AACGAACGCUGGCGGCAGGCUUAACACAUGCAAGUCGAACGGUUGUAGCAAUACAUCAGUGGCAGACGGGUGAGUAACACGUGGGAACCUUCCUCGUUGUACGGAACAACUCAGGGAAACUUGAGCUAAUACCGUAUACGUCCGAGAGGAGAAAGAUUUAUCGCAAUGAGACGGGCCCGCGUCGGAUUAGCUAGUUGGUGGGGUAACGGCCUACCAAGGCGACGAUCCGUAGCUGAUCUGAGAGGAUGAUCAGCCACACUGGGACUGAGACACGGCCCAGACUCCUACGGGAGGCAGCAGUGGGGAAUCUUGGACAAUGGGCGCAAGCCUGAUCCAGCCAUACCGCGUGAGUGAAGAAGGCCUUAGGGUUGUAAAGCUCUUUUUCCAGGGACGAUAAUGACGGUACCUGGAGAAUAAGCCCCGGCAAACUUCGUGCCAGCCGCCGCGGUAAAAC